rnacentral:pre_miRNA from 1 species
UUCAGUGGCCGGCUAGGGUGGAUGGGAAGCUUGGGUCGCCUCUGGUGACCCAAGCCUCCCACAUGCUCCAGCCUGCUCCAUGG